rnacentral:rRNA from 1 species
GACGAACGCUGGCGGCGUGCUUAACACAUGCAAGUCGAACGAAGUGGCGAACGGGUGAGUAACGCGUAAUCAACCUGCCCUUCAGAGGGUGACAACAGUUGGAAACGACUGCUAAUACCGCAUACGGAAGGAGGGGAUUGCGUCUGAUUAGCUAGUGGGGGGGGGAACGGCCCAACAAGGCGAUGAUCAGUAGCGGGUCUGAGAGGAUGAACGGCCACACUGGGACUGAGAGACGGCGCAGACGCCUACGGGGGGCAGAAGUGGGGAAUCUUCCGCAAGGGAGGAAAGACUGACGGAGAAACGCCGCGUGAGUGAUGAGGGCGUUCGGGUUGUAAAGAUCUGUUUAGCGGGACGCGGUACCGGAAUAGAAAGCCACGGCUAAAUACGUGCCAGCAGCCGCGGUAAUUC